AUUGAACGCUGGCGGCAUGCUUUACACAUGCAAGUCGAACGGCAGCGGGGAGGAGCUUGCUUCUCUGCCGGCGAGUGGCGAACGGGUGAGUAAUACAUCGGAACGUGUCGAGAAGAGGGGGAUAACCACCCGAAAGGGUGGCUAAUACCGCAUAAAUUCUGAGGAAGAAAGCUGGGGACCUAGGAAUAGGCCUAGCGCUUUUUGAGCGGCCGAUGUCGGAUUAGCUAGUUGGUGAGGUAAAGGCUCACCAAGGCGAAGAUCUGUAGCGGGUGUGAGAGGAUGAUCCGCCACACUGGGACUGAGACACGGCCCAGACUCCUACGGGAGGCAGCAGUGGGGAAUUUUGGACAAUGGGGGCAACCCUGAUCCAGCCAUGCCGCGUGUAUGAAGAAGGCCUUAGGGUUGUAAAGUACGUUUGUUAGGGAAGAAAAGUCAGCUGUGAAUAAUGGCUGAUACUGACGGUACCUAAAGAAUAAGCACCGGCUAACUACGUG
rnacentral:rRNA from 1 species